UACGGGGGGGGCAAGCGUUGUUCGGAAUUACUGGGCGUAAAGGGCGCGUAGGCGGCCUACUAAGUCGGACGUGAAAUCCCUCGGCUCAACCGGGGAACUGCGUCCGAUACUGGUGGGCUUGAAUCCGGGAGAGGUGAGUGGAAUUCCUGGUGUAGCGGUGAAAUGCGUAGAGAUCAUGAGGAAGACCAGUGGCGAAGGCGGGUCUCUGGACAGUUCCUGACACUGAGACACGAAGGCCAGGGGAGCGAACAGG
rnacentral:rRNA from 1 species